rnacentral:rRNA from 1 species
GUCCACGCCCUAAACGAUGUCUACUAGUUGUCGGGUUUUAAUUAACUUGGUAACGCAGCUAACGCGUGAAGUAGACCGCCUGGGGAGUACGGUCGCAAGAUUAAAACUACAAAGGAAAUUGACGGGGACCCGGCACAAAGCGGUGGAUGAUGUGGAUUAAAUUCGAUGCAACGCGAAAAACCUUAACCUACCCUUGACAUGUACGGAAGCCACGAGAGAUCGAGGUGUGCUCGAAAGAGAGCCGUAACACAGGUGCUGCAUGGCUGUCGU